UUGUAAUUNGGAGAAGGUGUUUCGGAAGAGAUAAUGGUCCAAGUCCCUUGGUAUNGGGCGUCACAGAGGGUGAGAAUCCCGUACGUGACCAAUUAUCGAUUCCAUGCGAAACCCUUUCGACGAGUCGAGUUGUUUGGGAAUGCAGCUCUAAAUGGGUGGUAAAUUUCAUCUAAAGCUAAAUACAUGCCAGAGACCGAUAGCGCACAAGUAGAGUGAUCGAAAGAUGAAAAGCACUUUGAAAAGAGAGUCAAACAGUACGUGAAAUUGUUGAAAGGGAAGCGCUUGCAAUCAGACUCGUUUGCAGAAGCUCAGCCUUCCUUCGGGAUGGUGUACUCUUCUGUCAACGGGCCAGCAUCAGUUUCGGCGGCUGGAUAAAGACUUUGAGAAUGUAGCUCUUUUCGGAGAGUGUUAUAGCUCGGAGUGUAAUGCAGCCAGCCGAGACUGAGGUCCGCGCUUUUGCUAGGAUGCUGGCGUAAUGGUUGCUAGCGACCCGUCUUGAAACACGGACCAAGGAGUCGACCAAUGACGCGAGUGUUUGGGUGUAAAACCCAUGCGCGUAAUGAAAGUGAACGUAGGUGGGAGCCUUCGGCGCACCAUCGACCGAUCUUGAUGUCUUCGGAUGGAUUUGAGUAUGAGCAUUUUUGGUCGGACCCGAAAGAUGGUGAACUAUGCGCGGAUAGGGUGAAGCCAGAGGAAACUCUGGUGGAGGCUCGCAGCGGUUCUGACGUGCAAAUCGAUCGUCAUAUCUACGCAUAGGGGCGAAAGAUUAAUCGAACCGUCUAGUAGCUGGUUCCUGCCGAAGUUUCCCUCAGGAUAGCAGUAACGAAUAUAGCAGUCUCAUGAGGUAGAGCAACGAUUAGAGGCCUUGGGGGCGAAAUGCUCUUCUCCUAUUCUCGAACUUCGAAUAUGUGAGAAGUCCUUGUUACUUAGUUGAA
rnacentral:rRNA from 1 species